GCGCUUUUAGCUCAACUGGAUAGAGCAGUAGCCUUCUAAGCUGCAUUAUGUGGGUUCAAGUCCUGCAAAGCGCA
rnacentral:tRNA from 1 species